AUUGCCGCACAUCAUUAGAAAUGCCUCAUACAGUAACUUUAUGGUUUUCCUUAACUCACAGGACUUCCUUGGGCCUGUGAAAAGGAAUUACAAAACAAUU
rnacentral:snoRNA from 1 species